CAUUGUGAAUGGUACACUGUGAAAGAAGAUGAGUGUCAAAAAUUAAAUAAACGGAUUUGCAAUUGAUUUCACAUCAUAUUGAAGGGAGAAGACAGUUUAAUUGAAAGAAAUUUAUUGUUUUUUCAAUAAAAUUUUGGAAUUUACUUCAUCCAAUUUUUAACCAAGAUUUAUUUCGAGAUAUUUGCGUACAAGCGUGGGAAAUGGUAUAACUGUUGAACUUUAAGCUGCAAUUGCUCGAACUUAUCGACUACUUCCUUACAUAUAUCAUUAUGUACAAAACAAUGGUUGCAAUUUCAAGGUUACAAGUGAUCCUAUUUCAUACAGGCACAAGUACCAGCCAUUCCCAACUAAAAUGCCCACUCAGUACAACAAAAGCAACAAGUGCUUGAAUAGGAGUUCGCCGCUUAAGUCUUUUAAUGCCCUCUACACGCCAAAAGUGCUGCGUCACACCGCAAGAAAAGCCAAUUUUUAACACAUUACUAGCAUGUACAUACACACAUACAAAUGUAUAAACAACAAACGAAUUACCACAAGAAUUGUGCGUGCAUACUAUGUCAGGAAGAGAGAAGAAACGAAGGAGAAGAAGAAUUUGGAACAAAAGUGAGAAAUUAAAAUCUAAUAAAUUUGAGGCGGCAAACAAAUUGACGUAUAAAUUACCUGUUUUUAUACAAUGAAAAUACCAUGACUGGCUACCGAAAAUUUUUUCUUUUGGACACAUGUGAAACGAAAUGCGGAAGAAGGGACAGAAAACAGCAUAAAUUGUGUGUUGUUGCAUGCCACAUUCAGUCAUACGCUUGUGUUGUUGCGUAUGGUGAUGAACCGAAUGAAGAGUGAUGGACAGACAAACAUAAAUACAUACAUACAGCGGUCAUCAAAAGAAAAAGAAGGUUACUAUUCAUGUGCCGGUACACAAGAAGAUCGAAAAGCAUACGCAUACCGUCGUAAAGCAUAUUCACCAUCAUCACAAGCCGAUUGUCAUCAAAGAAGAAAAAGUCAUCCAUGAAGAACAUCAUCCGAUCAUACAUAAGGAGCACAUUUCACACGAGCAUAAACAUCAUCAUUCGGAGAAACACGAACAUAUACAUCCGAUCAUCGAAGAGGAGGAAGAGCACAUACACCAUCAUCAUCAGUACGAGCACAAGGAGGAGAGCCAUGAAAGUUGAAUGAUGUCUACUGCUAACGAGGCAGCCGGUUGAAGCCAUGAGUUAUAAUUAGUUUAAGCUAGAAUAGGUGUAUGUUAAGGUGUAUGUUAAAAUGUUUUGGGUAGCAAUGUAACUGAAAUUAAAUGUAUUAUUUAAUUUUAAAUCAAAUCAGGACAUCAA